ACAGGCUUGGUUUCAAGAAGAAGUGGUUGGUUCUGCUACUUGAAGAAAGAAGCCCUAGAUCCUGCUACUUGAAAGGAAAUGUAGAGGCUAUGAUCAAGAUGUUGCUUUCACAAACUAGCAUAAUUGUUACUUGCUAGAUUUUGUUUAAUCGUUCUUCUCUGAACUGAAAUUCAUCCAAGGAAGAAGAGAAGAUGAAUAAUGCAGACGCCGUCUGAUAGUACAUGUAAUUCUGCAGCUGCAGACGCUUCUCUUCCCCAGGCUAGUUCGCAUCAAUCAAUCUGAACAAUCUGAACCUGUAAUUUCAAUGUCCAAUUCGAGAAGACCAGGCAUCCCUUCUCAUCAUGUGCCGCUUAGACCCUUAGGCUUUUCCGGUAGCCAUAGCGGCCAACAUUUAUAUCAGUCUCAGAGCUUCAAGAAGAAGAAGUUUGAUGUCACUGUAAAUGAGAAAAGCCCUCUACUUAAUCCAGAAAUUAAUCUGGAUUCACAGAGUCCGAUUCUGGCUAAUUUCAAGUCUCUUUAGACUAGAGGCCGCAGGUCUCUUCCUAUUCUGCUUCAAAUCUAUCCAAUUUCAUUAUUUAGAAACGAGCCAAUCUUUUGGGUUUAAUCUAGGUUUUAUUAAUAAGUUGUGAGCAUGCAUAGGUUAAGGAUCUAAGGUGAGACUUUUGUUUUUGUUUAACUAAAAUUUGAAGAGUGUUACAGUAAAACUCAUAUCAAAUGAUCUUUAUUU